rnacentral:rRNA from 1 species
AUGGCCUCCCCGAUCCCGUAUCUCUUGCCGCCUCUCUCCUCCCCCAAUCCCGUAUCUCUUGCCGCCUCUCUCCUCCAAUCCCACUCCCCGUUCUUCAGCUCCCUCCCCUCCCUUCAAAAUUCAAACUGCGAUGCCGCACCGCCAUAUUACUCCCGGGGUUCCCCAUCCCUUAUGCUCGCUAUUUUCUUCUCUGCCUCCCGGAAUACUCAGUUUCCGCUGCCCUGCUCGCUCGCCGUCGCCGGUACUGCCCAGUCGCCCGCUCACCGUCGCCGAAACGAGGAAACUGCAACCCUUGUCGGCUUGUUCGCUCGCCCUGCCAGGAUUGCAUGGAGGCCGCUUACCCUGCAGGCGCGCCCGCUCGCCGUCUUCGACCGCUUCGAGGUCGACCCCCCUGCGGGCAAGCUCGAUCGGGAAUUGCAGCGCCGCCUCGCGAUCGCGGCUGACAGUUCGUCUUGGUCUGCGCUGCCUUUUCCCCUUCCAUCCGAGCACAUUGGUCACUUAAGACUCCUGUCUGGUCGUCUCCACAAGUUUAUUGUUGAAACAGAACACAUCCGCAAAUCUACCGGGCCGGCUUACGACAGGCUCCAGCCACGCCGCUACCACCCUCAUCGCCGGCCCCUCCCCGCCUCCUCCUUGUUCCCACCAAAAGAACUUCUGGAGCCAGCAUCCGCUGAUUUGCAGAGGGCUCACCCGCCGGGGCCAGCGACCAACGUUGCUAACUUCAGAACUUCUCGUAAACAAAGAUUCGUUUGCAAAAUGCCUUGUCCCAGCCAACAGUCUGCUAAAGGAAAAGAAGUGGUAAAUGAACAUAACAACACAAAGAGCGCUCCAACAGGCUUGGUAAUACAUGAGCCAUCCAACUCAAGAACCUUGAGUGGAACAUCCUCAGAUGAUGAAGAUGUUCUAAACGAGUUAGCUGCAAGUUUUCCUACUCACAGUAUCCUCACAUCGAUCAAAGGCUUUGAACAAGGAGAGAGCUCGAAGGGGCGGAAGCGUUCUCGUGAAUCCGCUCGCUAUGCUAACCUUACACCAGAACAAAAGCAAGCAAAGCGUGAUCGUGACAGAGCGCGCCGUCAAUGUUUAGCGCCCGAGGUUAGGGAAGAGAUCAACGCUCGCAGGAGAGCGCGUAGGAAAAGUUUAACACUUGAAGAAAGGAAUGCUGGCCAACGAGCACGCAGGCAAUGUUUGACAGCGGAGCAGAGGGAAGUGAUGAAUGCAUGUACAAGAAAACACAGGCAAAGCAUGACACCUGAAGAGAGGCAGGCACUGCUCUCUAAACGUAGGAUGAGCUAUGCAUCUAGGCGGGACACACCAUGUGCUGAAUCCAUUGCAGUGCGAUGCCCCGAGGCAUGUGGUGCUUCACCAGCAGAAAACCCGUCCUCAUACAUGCCCACACUCACCAUUGGAACUGAGGGUGAACUACAAUCAUUCGUCAGUAACUUAAUGGAUGAGGACGCCAUCCUCGAUGAGACUAUGGACGAGGAGUACUACAUUUUCACGGGUGAAGGAGGAGAAACACUGAACUUACCGAAGAGCUUAAGGAUCAACCCCUUCAAGUGCAGGACUGCCUAUCCGCGGACAAGAUGA